UAAUACGAUGUUGAUUUUAAGUUUAUUUUCGUGACAUGUCACGUUAAAUUCCUUACACUCAUAAUGUUACCAUGCACUGGUUGUUUUAAAGGGAUUAGUUGUCCCUUUUACGAUAGCGGUCUUUGCGAGAGGCCGUACUGUCAUUUCAAGCAUGUAAAGAAAGGUGGCUUCAACAUCGUCCUCAGUACCCAGUACCUCUGGACUUUGCAACGGAUUAUCACCGACACUGUCAUCAUGGCAAACAGUGUGAACGUGCUUACGUAUAUUGCAUCUAAUACUGUAAUCCAUACAUGUACAGUAAUACUGAUGUAUGCACACAUUGCAAUGACUACAUUUUAAUUUGUGCCCACAGA